CCAAUAGCGUAUAUUAAAGUUGUUGCAGUUAAAAAGCUCGUAGUUGAAUUUCGGGAUCAAUAUAUCGGUCGUGCCAUUGGUACGUACUGGUAUCAUUGGUUUCUCCUUUCUGACGAACCAUGAUGUCAUUAAUUUGGUGUUAUGGGAAGUUAGGACUGUUACUUUGAAAAAAUUAGAGUGUUUAAAGCAGGCUUUAGCUUGAAUACAUUAGCAUGGAAUAAUGAAAUAGGACGUUCGAACCUAUUUUGUUGGUUUCUAGGAUCAACGUAAUGAUUAAUAGGGAUAGUUGGGGGCAUUAGUAUUCAAUUGUCAGAGGUGAAAUUCUUGGAUUUAUUGAAGACUAACUACUGCGAAAGCAUUUGCCAAGGAUGUUGUCAUUAAUCAAGAACGAAAGUUAGGGGAUCGAAGACGAUCAGAUACCGUCGUAGUCUUAACCAUAAACUAUGCCGACUAGGGAUCGGAUGAUGUUAAUUUUUUAAUGACUCAUUCGGCGCCUUACG
rnacentral:rRNA from 1 species